UGCUCAUCGAGAGGGACUGAGGGAACGGCCCAGUGAAGUCCCGGCAACCGACCGCGAGCCUCCUCCCGACCACGGGCAGGGCGCGGAGCAGGUGCUAAUUCCGGCCCGGCGCGAGAGACGUGAUCGGGGAAGAUGAGGA
rnacentral:ncRNA from 1 species